rnacentral:rRNA from 1 species
CGGACGGGUGAGUAAUGUCUGGGAAACUGCCUGAUGGAGGGGGAUAACUACUGGAAACGGUAGCUAAUACCGCAUAACGUCGCAAGACCAAAGAGGGGGACCUUCGGGCCUCUUGCCAUCGGAUGUGCCCAGAUGGGAUUAGCUAGUAGGUGGGGUAACGGCUCACCUAGGCGACGAUCCCUAACUGGUCUGAGAGGAUGACCAGCCACACUGGAACUGAGACACGGUCCAG